rnacentral:rRNA from 1 species
GACGAACGCUGGCGGCGUGCCUAAUACAUGCAAGUCGAGCGAAGUUUUUCUGGUGCUUGCACUAGAAAAACUUAGCGGCGCACGGGGGAGUAACACGUAAAGAACCUGCCUCAUAGACGGGGACAACUAUUGGAAACGAUACCUAAUACCGGAUAACAGUAUUUCUCGCAUGGGAGAUAUUCAAAAGUUGGUUCUGGUAAGACUAUGAGAUGGCUUUGCGGGGCAUUAGCUAGUUGGUGGGGUAAAGGCCCACCAAGGCGACGAUGCAUAGCCGACCUGAGAGGGUGAUCGGCCACACUGGGACUGAGACACGGCCCAGACUCCUACGGGAGGCAGCAGUAGGGAAUAUUCCGCAAUGGGCGCAAGCCUGACGGAGCAACGCCGCGUGAGUGAAGAAGGAUUUCGGUUCGUAAAGCUCUGUUGUUAGGGAAGAAUGGCUAUGUAGUAACGCUACAUGUAAGAGACGGUACCUAACCAGAAAGCCACGGCUAACUACGUG